rnacentral:rRNA from 1 species
UACGUAGGUGGCAAGCGUUGUCCGGAAUUAUUGGGCGUAAAGCGCGCGCAGGCGGCCUUUUAAGUCUGAUGUGAAAGCCCACGGCUCAACCCGUGGAAGGUCAUUGGAAACUGAAAGGCUUGAGUACAGAACGAGGAAAGCGGAAUUCCACGUGUAGCGGUGAAAUGCGUAGAGAUGUGGAGGAACACCAGUGGCGAAGGCGGCUCACUGGACCGGAACUGACGCUGAGGCGCGAAAGC